UACGUAGGUGGCAAGCGUUGUCCGGAUUUAUUGGGUUUAAAGGGUGCGUAGGCGGCUUUGUAAGUCAGUGGUGAAAUAUGGCAGCUCAACUGUCAAGGUGCCAUUGAUACUGCGGAGCUUGAGUACAGAUGAGGUAGGCGGAGUUGACGGUGUAGCGGUGAAAUGCUUAGAUAUCGUCAAGAACACCUAUAGCGAAGGCAGCUUACUAGGCUGUAACUGACGCUGAGGCACGAAAGUGUGGGGAUCAAACAGG
rnacentral:rRNA from 1 species